AGGGUUUUCACGUGAAAAGGAAAAGAGAGAAGCGGCUGAAAGUGGAAAAGGGCAAAAAGGCAGAGCAAGAGAAGAGGAAAAAGCUUGAAGCUAACGGAAGUGCCGGAUUAACUCAGGUAACGAGCAGUGAGUGAGUAGAAGCUAGUGCUAUGGAGUCUAGUGUCGUCCUUAGUGGGUCAUGCUCUGGUAGAUGUAACAUCGGGAGGGGAUGUUUGACUAUGUUUUAAUUUAGUUGUUGAUCAACUUUACAUGAGAUGUAGUACAUGAUUUGAAUGUCGAUGUUUUGUAUCCGCUGCGAAUUAUGCAAAAGAGUCUUAUUUUGAUUUAAUAAAUGAGCAUGACAGGAUAUUUUGAUAAA